rnacentral:lncRNA from 1 species
UGAUAUGUUUAUAAUUUGUAGGGGAGACAUUGACUCUUUGAGUUGAAAUAUUAAAUAAAUUAUGAAAUACAUGGGGUAAAAAAUAAAAGUAGUUUAUCUACAAUAUUUUGGAAAUUAAUAACUACUAGAAACAAUGUGACGAAGGAAGCAACCCCAUCAUAAAUGAAUGAAAAGGGGAUAAUGUUACUGAAAUGAUGGAAUCUAGUCCAUCGUCAAUUCCUGAACCAUUACAAAAAAUUAUGAUU